rnacentral:lncRNA from 1 species
GGUCGGUUCAAAGUUUUGGAAUUGGAAGGCGAGCUCGAUCUCCAUCUCGAUCCACUCAUCAAGUAUGAUUUCCCUAAUUACCACCGAGGAAGAAUACAGAGUUCUGUUAAUGGUUUUCUUGUUCUAAGGAUGCGUGUUGAUAUGCUUUCUGUAUGUAAUCCGAUUACUCGUGAAGUGAUUAAGCUGGAUCUGCCUUCAGAUCCACAAC